GACGAACGCUGGCGGCGUGCUUAACACAUGCAAGUCACGGGGGCCCGCAAGGGUAACCGGCGAACGGGUGCGUAACACGUGAGCAAUCUGCCGUGAUCUGGGGGAUAGCCGGCCCAACGGCCGGGUAAUACCGCAUACGCUCGUUGAGUGGCAUCACUUGACGAGGAAACCUCCGGGGGAUCACGAGGAGCUCGCGGCCUAUCAGCUAGUUGGUGGGGUAACGGCCUACCAAGGCAAUGACGGGUAGCUGGUCUGAGAGGAUGGCCAGCCACAUUGGGACUGAGAUACGGCCCAGACUCCUACGGGAGGCAGCAGUGGGGAAUAUUGCGCAAUGGCCGAAAGGCUGACGCAGCGACGCCGCGUGGGGGAUGAAGCAUUUCGGUGUGUAAACCCCCUGUUGCUCGGGACGAACAAGAAAGCACCGGCUAACUCUGUGCCAGCAGCCGCGGUAAU
rnacentral:rRNA from 1 species